UGGGGAAUAUUGGACAAUGGGCGCAAGCCUGAUCCAGCCAUGCCGCGUGAGUGAUGAAGGCCUUAGGGUUGUAAAGCUCUUUCGCCGGUGAAGAUAAUGACGGUAACCGGAGAAGAAGCCCCGGCUAACUUCGUGCCAGCAGCCGCGGUAAUACGAAGGGGGCUAGCGUUGCUCGGAAUCACUGGGCGUAAAGCGCACGUAGGCGGAUCGUUAAGUCAGGGGUGAAAUCCUGGAGCUCAACUCCAGAACUGCCCUUGAUACUGGCGAUCUCGAGUUCGAGAGAGGUUGGUGGAACUCCGAGUGUAGAGGUGAAAUUCGUAGAUAUUCGGAAGAACACCAGUGGCGAAGGCGGCCAACUGGCUCGAUACUGACGCUGAGGUGCGAAAGCGUGGGGAGCAAAACAGGAUUAGAUACCCUGGUAGUCCACGCCGUAAACGAUGGAUGCUAGCCGUUGGGGGGUUUACCUCUCAGUGGCGCAGCUAACGCCUUAAGCAUCCCGCCUGGGGAGUACGGUCGCAAGAUUAAAAACUUAAAUAAAUUGACGGGGUCAUAGCUGUUUCCU
rnacentral:rRNA from 1 species